ACCACAAGGCCACGUGAUCACCAUGUCGCUUCCAUUGCAUCAGAGAUUGUUUGGUGUUCCGGUGAGCGUUCGGUGGGCACGUGGUGAGGAACUUUGCCCUCAGGAUACGCGGUUUUAGAGGCGCCUCGGGGUAAAAUAUUAGGUGGUGAUGGACUGUGUAUCUUUGUGAAUCGUCACGUGAAAUCAGAUAGCUGGAGACGAAAGCCUUUUGUAUUUGGAGUGAGGAGCAAGUGCGAGUGCAUAGAGGAGACACGGUGUUUGCCUUCCUUCCCUUUGGCGCGGUGACGGCAUCAGGUCACACUACCGUCUCCCUCGCUUCAGUGUCCUGCCGUCUUGUCAACUACAGAGGACGCGACGGCGAAAGAAGAUAAUGAGCUUCAAAAGGGAAAAUACAGCGUGCAAGUUUUCCCCUCCCUUUUGGUGAGUAGCGGAAAAAUUCAUGGUUCAGAUUUGCAUUAUGGGAAACUUUCCGUGCAAGGGUUUCUGUUUAAUUUCUUGCUGUGGUCUUCGGUCUUGGUUGCAGGAGUUAGGGUAGCAAAACGUAUUUCCGUAUUGUCAUUGUUACUGGUGUUCUUAAGUUACCAUUGUUAGUAGCAGUUGUAGAGAGAGAGAGAGAGAGAGAGAGAGAGA